rnacentral:rRNA from 1 species
CCUACGGGGGGCUGCAGUGGGGGAUAUUGCACAAUGGGCGCAAGCCUGAUGCAGCGACGCCGCGUGGGGGAUGAAGGCUUUCGGGUUGUAAACCUCUUUCGCUACUGAACAAGGCCGCAGUUUUUGUUGUGGUUGAGGGUAGGUGGAUAAGAAGCGCCGGCUAACUACGUGCCAGCAGCCGCGGUAAUACGUAGGGCGCGAGCGUUGUCCGGAAUUAUUGGGCGUAAAGAGCUCGUGGGCGGUUUGUUGCGAAAACGCGGGGCUUAACUCCGCGCGUGCAGUGGGUACGGGCAGGCUAGAGUGCGGUAGGGGAGAUUGGAAUUCCUGGUGUAGCGGUGGAAUGCGCAGAUAUCAGGAGGAACACCGAUGGCGAAGGCAGGUCUCUGGGCCGUUACUGACGCUGAGGAGCGAAAGCAUGGGGAGCGAACAGGAUUAGAUACCCGAGUAGUC